rnacentral:rRNA from 1 species
UACGGAAGGUGCAAGCGUUAAUCGGAAUUACUGGGCGUAAAGCGCAUGCAGGUGGUUUGUUAAGUCAGAUGUGAAAGCCCGGGGCUCAACCUCGGAAGGUCAUUUGAAACUGGCAAACUAGAGUAUGAUAGAGGGGGGUAGAAUUUCAGGUGUAGCGGUGAAAUGCGUAGAGAUCUGAAGGAAUACCAGUGGCGAAGGCGGCCCCCUGGACAGAUACUGACACUCAGAUGCGAAAGCGUGGGGAGCAAACAGG